UUGCUACCCGCUGACGAGCGGCGGACGGGUGAGUAAUGCUUAGGAAUCUGCCCAGUAGUGGGGGAUAGCCCGGGGAAACCCGGAUUAAUACCGCAUACGUCCUACGGGAGAAAGCAGGGGAUCUUCGGACCUUGCGCUAUUGGAUGAGCCUAAGUCGGAUUAGCUAGUUGGUGGGGUAAAGGCCUACCAAGGCGACGAUCCGUAGCUGGUCUGAGAGGAUGAUCAGCCACAUCGGGACUGAGACACGGCCCGAACUCCUACGGGAGGCAGCAGUGGGGAAUAUUGGACAAUGGGGGCAACCCUGAUCCAGCCAUGCCGCGUGUGUGAAGAAGGCUUUCGGGUUGUAAAGCACUUUCAGUAGGGAGGAAAACCUUAUGGCUAAUACCCAUGAGGCUUGACGUUACCUACAGAAGAAGCACCGGCUAACUCCGUGCCAGCAGCCGCGGUAAUACGGAGGGUGCAAGCGUUAAUCGGAAUUACUGGGCGUAAAGCGCGCGUAGGUGGUUUGGUAAGCGAGAUGUGAAAGCCCCGGGCUUAACCUGGGAACGGCAUUUCGAACUGUCAGACUAGAGUGUGGUAGAGGGUAGUGGAAUUUCCUG
rnacentral:rRNA from 1 species